rnacentral:tRNA from 1 species
GCGGAAGUAGCCAAGCUUGGUCCACGGCGCUGGUUUGAGGUACCAGUCCUUAACAGUUCGCGAUUUUCGCGAAUUGGGGAACGCGGCGCGCGGGUUCGAAUCCCGUCUUCCGCA